rnacentral:lncRNA from 1 species
CGCCAUUUCAAUACCCCCCUCCCGAUUUCAUCGGCGGGGGAUAAUAAGUUUUCAAGAACAUGUUACAACAUAUUAUAACAUGCUUCGAAGCAAAUGUAAUUGCCUAGUGCAAUAUGUUUGUUUCAACAUUGUACACACUUGGCAUACAUAGGUAGUUACGUUUCCGGUGCCGCCUACAAGAAGCAAGCUGUAUAAAAAGGUUGUGAUUUCAUACCCGGGCGAGGCACAAGUUAAAUUUCAUUUGGUCACUCGGGUACUGAGCGAGACUGUUUAUUUUUCUGUUUUAAGAAAUGAUGACCUUAUCAUCGGCCCUAGUGACUCUAUACUCAUUUGCAAACUGCUUACAUACCGAGUUUUAUUGACAUACGUCACUUCUGACUGAAAUUAUUGAGCAAAGAUAUUUUUUUUCUAUUUUUAGUAAAUGUGACAAUGACGUUCACCCUUGCAACCUUAUAUGCAUUCAAAGCUCCUUAUCCAUGGAUGCUACCUAUUCACCAAGUGAUUCCUGAUUCGUAGUUAUUUAGUGGAAACUAUUUGUCUAUUUCUGGACCUUGUCUCUAGUGACCCCAUAUGCAGUCCCUGUCUGUAGCAUUAUUAUAAUGUAUCCUUCCAAAUUAAUUCAAUUCAUUGCGCUACCCUCUGGACCACUGGAUCUAAAAUAGAAAUAGUUUUAAAUUAUUUACUCUCAUGUACCACAUGGUGGGUCUUCAUCAGACUUUUUCUGUAGCAUAAACUGUCAGGACUUCUUUAAAAUUCUUUCCAAUGCGGGCAAUAGACUCGUUUUAAGGACACUAGAAUUAAAUUUAGGAAAACUUUCAUUACGAAAUCUUUUCAUGAACCACUAGAUAGCUCUUAAUCAAACCGGGCCUGUAUCAUCAUCGAAACCGGGCCUGUAUCAUCAUCGAAACGGUAUUCUACUUAAUUAUUCAGUUUGGGGCCACUUGAGCUAAACAUAGAAAAAUCGUAAAAAUGUUCAUCUCAUAAACCGCUUGACUGAUCUUCAUCCAACUUAGUCUGUAGCAUCAUCGUAUUGGCCUCUCCCGUAAGUUUUCCAUUUAGGGCACUUGGUCCAAUAUAUGAAUAUGAAUACUUGUGUGAGGUCUAAAUUUUUCAAAUCAGUCUAGCAAAAAAUCAAGCUCACGGUCCUAUCUUUUUUGUAUUUGCUGAAUUUUCUAAGUAUAAUCUGAAAUUUUGAAUUAAAUUCUACAUCGUAGAAAAAAUUUUGAUAUGUACUUCCAGAACUACCUUAAUAUUUUUAUUCACAUCUAUUGCGAAAUUAUCAUUACAACUAAUAUUUUAACACUAUAUAUCUUUUUACAAGACUAUUUUAGAAAUUGUUUUCAAUGUACUUGUCCAGUAUAGUUCAAUGUACUUUUCCAGUUAGUUUAUAGGUCAACUGGGUUUUUUCCUGUCCGGUCGAUAUUUUUUUUGUCAUCCAUCAAAGGAUUAUAAAUUACUUGGCACAAAUGUUAUGUGAUGAUGUGUCGGGGGUCCGCAUACAUAUUGUUAGUGGUUGGAUGCAUUAUCACGGUGAAUCUAGAAACCUCGAACGAAAUGAAACUUCCUGUUAAAAGCGAAUCCUUUUUCCUGUUUUUAGACUGAAUUCGUAAAUUUUAUCAAUGAAAUAUCUUAAGUACUAGUUAGUCAUUUGGUUGACAAAUGUCGUAUAUAAGCAAGCAUUUUAUAGAAGUGGAUAGCGAAGCAAUACCAAUGCAAGAUUAGUCAGAAAAGAAAAGGAUAAUCAUCCGAAAAAAACCCCAACAACAACUGACUGACGAUAAAUAUCUGGUGAGGAUAAUGUCUUUCUCACAAAGGAUUUCAGUUGUUAUUAUCGCAAUUAUACUUAUAUGGACGGUCAAACAGGCAGAGAGCCAGCUAUGUCGGGUUAAAGGUCGCAGCUGCAGGGACACCAGAUUGAAUCGUUACGGCAAAGGUCGGUGUGCUAGACUUGGCGACAUAUUAGGAAAGGUUAUGAGAUGUCAACGGAUUGGUUUACGUUGCCGAUGCAACGUAAUUGGCCCGGGAAAUAUUGGAACAGAUUAUGACGGGUCGGAAUACUAUGACCAGAUUUUGUAUUCUGAAAUAUAUUAAACCGUUCUACAAUAACUGAAAUUGCUACAAUAUUACAUUCCUUUAAAAUUCAUUUGAAAAUAUUCUGGUACUCGUAAGACUUAUAGUGACAAAAUGGAAGGAUGUUUGUAGAUGAAUGCAGUAAUAUUCUGUGUUUAUUAAACAGACUUUGAGAAUAUGUGAUUUAAUAUUUAAAUAAAACGAACAAUUGA